AUUUUAUUAGUAUAAAGAGUAUGGUUGUUUUCCAAACAAUUGGUUUAAAUAUUAAAUAAAAUA
rnacentral:tRNA from 2 species